UACAGAGGUCUCAAGCGUUGUUCGGAUCAUUGGGCGUAAAGAGCUCGUAGGCGGUUUGUCGCGUCUGCCGGUGAAAGUCCGGGGCUCAACUCCGGAUCUGCGGUGGGUACGGGCAGACUAGAGUGAUGUGGGGGAGACUGGAAUUCCUGGUGUAGCGGUGAAAUGCGCAGAUAUCAGGAGGAACACCGAUGGCGAAGGCAGGGUCUCGUGGGCAAUAACUGACGCUGAGGAGCGAAAGCGUGGGGAGCGAACAGGAUUAGAACCC
rnacentral:rRNA from 1 species